rnacentral:rRNA from 1 species
UACGUAGGGGGCGAGCGUUGUCCGAAGUUACUGGGCGUAAAGCGCGCGUAGGCGGCAUGUUAAGUGGCCGGUGAAAUCCCCGGGCUCAACUCGGGGCGGACUGGUCAUACUGGCAAGCUGGAGUGUGGGAGAGGAGAGUGGAACUCCUGGUGUAGCGGUGAUAUGCGUAGAGAUCAGGAAGAACACCCGUGGCGAAGGCGGCUCUCUGGACCACAACUGACGCUGAGGCGCGAAAGCCAGGGGAG